rnacentral:lncRNA from 1 species
AUCAACUAUUAAAAACAUCUCCCAUCAAAUAGAAUUUAACAAGUGCAGGUACAAAUCGACAAAUUACAAACUUCAAAUAUCAUCCCCGCUAUUGCCAAAAAAAAAAAGCAAUAGCAAACACAAGCAACUACAGCACCAAGCAGUAAAAACACCAACAAGCAGCAAAAAAAGCAACAUACAGCAACAAGGUUUCCUGUUUAAUAUUUGAUAUUAGAAGGAAUAAAAUUUGACAAAAAAAAAGCCAUCAUUUCAGACGCAGCAACAGACAAAAAAAAAACUAAUAUUACAUCAUUUAUUGUGGUGUACCUCACAAAGCAAUUACUUAUUCCCUCCAAAUGUAUCGUCCAUAUUGCGACCUGAUUUCUAUAAUUGAAAUUAAACAUAAAAAGUAAAAUUAGGAUAAUAAGUAGUAUUAUACAAAAAGGCGAAAUCUUAUCUAAGUUCAAGUGAUGAAACAAGCACAUACAAGUCAAAAAGUUUAUCUAAGUGAUCAAAUUUCCAUUAAUGGUUGUAAGCGAACCAAACGAUCAAGGAACCUUUCGUGAACCGUUCAGCAUAAAGGAUUUGGUGAUUAUCCGGUUAUUAGAUUAGCAUGGUUUAUUUAGUUCUUAUCUUUACUGAGAUAGAUAUCCUAUUUGUUAGUAAUUGGUAGUUAUCCUUUUGUGAUCAGACUAUAUAUGUAGUCUUCGUUUGUAACCUGAGAUUAUCAUGAUGAAUACCAAUUAAAGUAAGCUUAUACCAAUUCUUUGUGGUAUCAGAGCGGGUCGUUUUCAGGGGACGAUAACAAUCUCCGGCGAGCAUGGCGGGAGAUAUACCAGAAGGAUCCGGCAAGAAAAGCGAUGAGGGAAUUGAUAUCACUUCGUCAUUCUACAUUCAUCCAUCAGAUUAUCCCAAACAAGUUCAAGUGAAUGACUUGUUGAACGACAACAAUUACAACGAAUGGAAACAGGAGAUGACAAAUUUUCUCUUGGCGAAAAACAAGAUGGGAUUAAUAGAUGGAACGGUAAAGAAGCCCGAGUCAACAUCACCCACGUACAAGGCAUGGGUUCGAGCCGAUGCUAUGAUAAAAAGGUGGUUAGCCACAACGAUGGAGAUGGAGAUAAGAACAAGUGUUCGAUAUGCGAACACCUCCUUUGAGAUCUGGUCAGACCUUGAAGAGCGAUUCGAAAAAGAGGGUGCACCUCGUGCUUACGAGCUAAAACAAACACUCCAUGUAACGAGACAAGAUGGGAGCUCGGUGUCGAAUUACUACACUAAACUAAGAUCAAUUUGGGAUGAAUUGCAGAUGGUACUUCCCACGCCACGAUGUACCUGUGAAGGUUGUGAUUGUGGAAUUGGAAAACAACUGAAUGAGUUGAGAGAGAAAGAAAGGACUUACGAGUUCUUGAUGGGUUUGGACGAAGAUUUCGCAGUCAUCAGAACACAAGUACUUGCUAUGAAGCCAACAUCAUCCAUCGGAACGGUUUACCAUUUGUUAGCAGAAGACGAGCAACAAAGGGCAAUCACGGGUGGAGUGAAAAGAACUGGGACUGAGGCAUCAACAUUUCAAGCUAACUAUAGUUCUCAGCGGGGACAGCGACAACCAUUGUCAAAGCAAGCCACUCAAUCGGUGAAUAAAGUGGCACAAAAAUUCUCGAAAUCAGAUAAUGACAAUAAGAUUCGAUGUUCUCACUGUCAGCGAGAUGGACACAACAAGGAUGGGUGUUUCAAACUUAUUGGGUACCCUGAAUGGUGGCCCGGUAAGAAAGAUAAACCCAAGGCAGCUUGUGUGGAGCUGGGCCCAAGUCCGAUCCCCGGGCUUUCAGACGAGCAAUACCGACUCUUUGUUGAACACUUCAAGGAAGGAACGAAUAUAACAAAACAGUUAAUGGCAAACAUGGUAGGUAGAAAUGGAAUCUAUGAUGGGUGGAUUGUCGACUCGGGAGCCACCGAGCACAUGACACACAUAAGUGAUUUUUUGAUUAAUAAAACCCAAAACCCAAAAGACUCACCUGUUGUUAUCCCUAAUAGAGACAAGGUUCAGGUCAUGGGGGAGGGUGAACAAACUUUGCCAGGAGGUUUAAAAUUAAAAGGAGUAUUAUUUGUACCAAACUUUAAUUACAAUCUUCUUUCAGUUGGUAAACUUGCAGAUGAUCUAAACUGUGCUGUUACUUUUUUCCCUGGUUUCUUUGUGAUGCAGGAGUUGGGGACGAAUGUCACACCCCAAAACCGAAACGGCGAAAACGUUCUGGGGUGGAUGACGUCAUGUCAAGUAUCACAACAUAUGCAGUAUAGUGAUCAAAGUAUAACAACCAUUGCAUUAAUAGUAAUAUUUUUACAUAAGUUACAUUAAAUAGAGACAUCAAAGUAAUACAGAACUACUAUAAAUGCAGCUCGGUUCUAGGUUGACUUCACAAACGCUCCUGGGUGUACCUGUCUAUUGCUGACCUGAGAAUACAAGUUAUUUUGAAAGCGAGUAUCAGUAUUUUUAUAAAUGCUGGUGAGUUCAUAAGUAUUUAGUGUCAUUUGUGUAAGUAAACACUUUAUUCAAAAUAACUUUAUGAAAAGUAAUAGUUUAGAAUCUACAGUGUAUUAGCGUCCUUUCUAGAAAAUCCUAUAUUUUCUAAAUAAAAGCAGUCUUCUACCAAGACUCGACAGAGUUAUGUUGUAAAAAGUAAUUUUCCCUUAAACACUAUCAUUACCAAAAUACGGUAUUUGACUUUAAAGAGAGUAGGGGAGUAUCACUAGUAGAAUACUAGGGGAAAAUAACAUAUGCCUCGGCAGAAAUACUGCUGACUAAGGCAAAAGAAAUCAUAGACUCCGGGAGAGUAUCGAAUGAAUGAUACGUCUGACUCAGUCUAACAAAAGGAAACACAAACCCCAGACGGUAUCAAAUGUACGAUCCGACUAGCAAGGUCUAAAACAAAGAAACACAGACCCCAGACAGUAUCAAAUGAAAGAUACAGCUAGCAAGGUCUAAAACGGAGAAACACAGACCCCAGACAGUAUCAAAUGAAAGAUACAGCUAGCAAGGUCUAAAAUGGAGAAACACAGACCCCAGACAGUAUCAAAUGAAAGAUACAGCUAGCAAGGUCUAAAACAAGGAAAAAGUCCUAAGUGGGUUGUUUCAAGAAUACAAUGUUAGAUUCUCGUUACCUUAGGGCCAUGAAUUAUAAGGUAAACAUGGAGAUACUCGUAACCAUAUUGAUCGACACUAGAGUACAUGACGCCCUGCAAGCGUCGAAAUAAAUGUGACAUUUGUCACCCCUUGGCUUGGUAGGCCGUGGACUGUAGCUAGAAGUCAGGGUGCGGGAGUGUCAGUCCCGUAUAGAUCUAUACACACAAUGUCCGCUCUCCCUACAGGAGACUCUGGUUACCAACUCAACGACGGGGAGAUCCGUGUCUUGAAGAUGCAUCUCGUAUUCUGAGUACUAAUAGAGGCGCUGGAGAAAUGACAUAGACUCGCGUAUGAACCGACUCCUGUGGAAUUCUCGUACUAGAAAGAGUGAAUAAAACCUCCUAACUAUUCCUAUAAUAGUUACUAGUGUCUCUAAUCUAUGAGCGAUGAACGGAAGGAUGCCCUUGCUACCCAAGGCGAUGUAAUGGUCGAGAGCGAGAGAGAGAGAAAGAGAGAGAGAGAGAGCGAGAGAGAGAGAGAGAGAGAGCUUUUAUGUCCAUAUAUGUAUACAUGAUAUAUAACUAAUGUUUAAACGACCUUCGGACGGGUAUCCGAUACCCACCAGACCACAUCCAAAUGAGGAAAAGGAAAUAGGGCGAACUAGCCAUCCUAAGUCCUUUAAACAUUAUUUAUAUAACUAUACAAGUACAAACAUGCAUUUAACGAAGUAGAAGCAUAUAAGCGUGGAAGAAAACUUUGACGAAAACUUUGGAAAACCUUUACACUUAAGAAAAUUGUGACUUGAUAUCCUUUUUGUAAAAUAAGUUUAAAGACCUUUAGAAAUCCUUGAAAAUCUUUCAUAAACAAGUUUUGAAUAUAACUUUGAUAAAACAAUAUAAGUAAAGAAAAACCUUUGUUUAACAUACUGCUGUAACUGGUUUUGAAGUACAACAUACAGCGCAAGAGACAAUUUGAGAAAGACUUAAACAAGUAAAGACGUUUUGGAAAACCAUUUAUAGUAUCAUACUUGGUAAAACAACUGAAAGUGUAAUAAAUCCUUGUGCAUGCGGGUUAUUAAUCACAUAUGAUUGAUAUUAUAACUAGCAUGUUUUAACUUGUAUUACCCCCAUAAAAGCAUGUGAAAACAUUUAAAAGGUUAAUUCAGGGGUAUGAACUCACCUGUUGUAAGUGGAUCGGGCGGAGGUGCCAGUUGGGUGCUCGGUGUCAAGUAAAGACUUGAACACGCUUAGUGACCUAUUAACAUAUGAUGACAUAUGUUUACAUACAAUUAGUAAUUAUAAUACUAAUUAAACACAUAUACGCAUCCUAAUGAGCGGAAAACACUUUGGUCAAGUGCUAGGAGUGUCCCGGGUAACAUCUAAGGGAGUGUAUGGCCCAAUUAGGGAGUUUACUCUUCAAGAGUAAACUCUUUAUAUAGUUUACGGCCCUAUGACCAUAUCCCCAUGAGUUUACGACCGUAAACUCAUGGGUGGUGUGCUCUUGGAUGCAUUAAGGCCUUAUAACACUGGUGAAACUAGGCUAGGUUCAAUUCUAGGGCAUAGGAAGGGCUUAAGGCCUCAUAUGGACCAUUUUAGGGAGUUUACGGUUCAUGACCACUCCUUGAGGAGUUUACGGCCGUAAACACAUUUCUUUUGUUGUUUGGUGGUUCUAACUCAUGCACGCAAGGUUCUAGUCACUUAUAUGAGCAUAGGAAGGUGUUAAAGGCACUUAAACACCUUGGAAAGGUGUUUACGGUCUAUAAAGAUGUUCUUGAGGAGUUUACUACCUUAAACACAUGAGUUUACGACAGUAAACUCAUGUUAGUCCAUGAAUCAUGUUUUUGGUGCAUCAACGAAGGAUUACAAGGCUCUAGACACUCAUGGAAGCUUUUGGAGGUGUUUGAGGGGCAGUUUAACACUUAAAUAAGUGUUUAUGGUCCAUGAAGAUGGGUUUACGGUCUAAGGAUGUUCUUAGACCGUAAACUCAUGUUUACUCCCCAUUUGUUCCGAUUUUUGUGUUCUAAGUCCUUUCAUGUAAGCCCAUAAGUCAUAACUAAGCUCCAUAAGUGGUUUGGAAGGGUUUUUGAGCAUUAAAACCCCAUCUAUGAGUGUUUACGGUCUAAGAAGGUGUUCUUGGACCGUAAACUCAUGUUCUUGAGGGUUUUGGGUAAUUUAAACACGAAUUUGUAAGUUAAAUGAGCUAAACAACAAGUUAGGGUAGAUCACUUACUAGUUUGGGGCUUGAAAGAGGCGAUUUUGGAGCAAACCCGAUUUGUAGAGAGAGAGUGUGUCUGUCUAAGGUGGGAAAAAUGUGGGAAUGAAACCCACUAAACCCUUAUAUAGGGUGUAGUUUAUGCCCUGGUUGGGGGUUCACCCAACACCAACCGCGAACGGGGUUUUUCACGUCUACCGUUAAACACAACAACAUUUUAAAAUUAUACCUCCUUAAUUUUGGUUCGCUUGAUGAAUAUUAUUUAAAAUAUUCCAACAGGUUUAAAUCCGAUCAAAAAUAUUUUCGGGAUAAAUUUGGUUAAUUUUUUUUUGACGUAAUUAAUUUCGACGUUAAAAGUAACGGAAAUUUUUGGGUUUUCACAACGAAGCACUUGAUUGGAGCGGGUAGUCGCAAUGGAGGAUUGUAUCGGAUGAGGGGUAUGAAGAUGAAGACAAAUGAAGCUUUAAUGUCGACUUUUGAGGUUUGGCACAAAAGGCUUGGGCACCCAUCAAUCAAGAAGAUCUCGAGUUUAGAUUUUGUUAGUGUUUCAAAUAAAGAACAAAUUAAUAAAUGUGAUGCUUGCUUUAAAGCAAAACACACUAGACUUCCAUUUACUGCUAGUGAAAUAAAAACUUCUUCUUGUUUUGAUCUGAUACAUUGUGAUGUGUGGGGUAGGUAUAGGACUCCUCUUAGCAAUGCAUCUUAUUUUUUUGACAAUUGUAGAUGACUUUAGUAGAGCAGUUUGGACCUUUCUGAUUAAACAUAAGUAUGAGGCUAGCACAUGUCUCAGAAUUUCACAAGAUGGUUCAAACUCAAUUUGGAAAGAAAAUCAAGCGAGUAAGGUGUGACAACGGGGGUGAGUUUGUGUCUAAUAAAAUGCGUGAUUUUUAUGCGCAAGAAGGAAUUGUUUUAGAGACAUCUUGUCCUCAUACACCACAACAGAAUGGUGUGGUUGAACGCAAGCAUAGGCACUUGUUAGAAACUGCACAUGCUCUUCGUUUUCAAGCAAACCUACCAAAGCUUUUUUGGGGUGAGUGUGUUUUGACAGCUACAUAUGUGAUAAACCAAAUGCCAACCAAAGUUUUGCAAGGUAUCACACCAUACGAGAUACUUUUCGGUCACAAACCUACUUAUGAUCACAUGCGGGUGUUUGGCUGUUUGGCUUAUUAUCGAAGUACAGAGACUAAGGGUGACAAAUUUGAGGCUAGGGGCAAACCAGGUUUGUUUGUUGGGUAUCCUCAAGGUACAAAAGGAUAUCGAAUAUAUGAUUUAGAAAACAGAAAAAUAAUUGUUUCUAGGGAUGUUCGAUUUCUAGAAGAUCAGUUUCCAAUGGGAUCAGAUUUAAUAAAUAAGAAUAUGCAACAAGAAGAACUUUUUGAGCUAGACAACAAUGCAAGUGAAACUCAUGUUGCCCCAUGUGGUGAAGUUGUUUCUCACGCAGAGUCUCACGAAGAUGAUCUCACCAUUGACCAAGAGGUGACUCCCACUUCUAAUGAUGAUAGUAAUAAUGCAUCUCCUAUAUCCACCAGCUUUAGCAAUGAAAAUUAUUCCACGCACACUGAAUCUGAAGAUAUUCAUUUAGCGAGGGCUACACGAGCUCGAACACAACCCCUUCGGUUUAAUGACUAUGAGGUUGAAUUAUGGUAUCAGUGCAAGAUAUCUUGUUCGGUUAGUUAAACGAACAAACACAAACAACAUUCUCCUUCGUUCAUUUAUGUUUGUGAAUGUUUGUUUACGUUCAUUAAUCUAUGUUCGUUUGUUUAAUUUAUUAUAGAUAGAUUUUUUAUGUACACACAUGUUUGUAUGUGUUUGUUCGUUUAAGUUAACAUAUAUUUGUUUGUUUAUGUUCUUUAGUGUCCAAUUAUGUACAUUUAAGUACGUUUGAGUUUGUUUAUGCUCAUUUGAUAAUGUUUAUCAGUUAAACGAAUGGACAUAAAAUUAUGUUCAUUUAAGUCUUCGUGUUCGCUCAUUUAUAGUUUAAAGUUAAAACGAACGAGCAAGAAAAAGCAUCCAUUAGUGUUCAUUUACAACCUUAGGCGUUUGGGAUUGAGUUUGAAAAAUAUUUAUUGACUUAUUUGCUUUUCAUUAGCCAAUAAGCUUAAAAAAGUGUUUGGGAAAUAGAAAAGUUCUUUUACAAAAUAGUUUUUUACUACCCUUAAAAAGACUUUUUUAAAAGUCGCACACUCAUGAUUUUAAAAAAAAAAAAAAAAAAAAAAAAAAAACUUAAAAGGUUGUUUGGUACUUGAGAAAUUAAGAUACAUGCUCUUAGUUUUUCAUAUUAAGUAUGUUUCGUUGCCUUGAACCCCAUUCCAUGUCGUCUAUGUUUUCCAUAACUUAAGAGGUUGUUUGGUACUCUCUCCCCAUAGUGCUUCUUAACAUGUGUUCUUCCUAAAUGCCAUAAAUAAUUCUUCAUGAAUAUUGCAUUUCCUUAUGAAAUUAUGGAAUGCGAAACAAGCAACGACUAUGCACUGAAAAACAAUGAGGACUCAUUUGCUUUAGGAUUGAAAAUCUCAGCUUCAAAACACCAUAGGCGCUCAAAAUACCAUUUCUUUAGUUGACGCAAGUCAUCGUUGAAAAUUGGAUAACCAAUACCUCAUGUUACGGUAAGAAGUCAUAAAUUCUCUUUCUCUAUAACGAGUAUGUUGAUCAAUAGGUACGCUGCAUGCGCACGAGUUCCAUCUAAUGCACCUAUUGCUCCUGUAAAUAUUUCUUUUAGCCUAUUAUGACGUUUUGAAGAAUUUACAAUUUCCACUAUAAUUUCUUUUGCAAAAAUCAUCAUUGCUUGUAGAACCUCAUUAAAGCAUCUAUGAAUAGUUUCUAUGGAGUGUUGAAAUCUUCAUUUGAUCAUCCUAAAUCGUUCAUUAUGUACAAUAAUUGUAAAAAACAUAGCCAUUUUUUUCAACACUUAUAUGCCUAUUAUUUACAACCAAUUGUUUCGUCUAAAUUGAUUGCAUAAAAGUACAUACGCUUCACGUGAAAGACGCAUCAUCUCAUGACAUUAUGUAGAAGUUCCAUAUAACAAUUCUUACGUAUAUGCAUGACCACUUAAUUCUGAAUCGUUAUUAAUUGCUUUUCCAAGUCUCACAAAUAUGUAGAUCAAUGGUUAACAAAACGUCUCUUAUCCGCACAUAAAAUACAAAAAUAGAUGUAGUGCAUCUCGGAUCAAAUAUUUCUUAUCUUAGCACCUAGAAUUGAAGAAAAUGGCUAUCUACAAAUAUCUUAACAACGUUAAGAUAUCUACAAAUAUCUUAACAACGUUAACAGUAUCUUCCCCAAUUUCUAGGAUUAUUGAAUUCGAUGUACUCUUUACUCUUUGUCGUACAUUCGUAUUUUUCCGUUUUUUGAUUGAGUGGAGGAAUUCUCACUGACACGUACAGGUUCUUUUUUAAUGUAAUCAAUGUCACCAAAGUCAUUUAAACUACAAUGGGUUCUUUUUGGCCCCCCAACUGUCAAUGCUUGUCGAAGUCGUGCCUUCAAACAAUCGUGUGCAAAGGUUGGUGUAGGGUAGCAGUGAGUCUCAAAUUACCUCUUAUUUUUUAAACAUGAUAAUAUAUAUAUAUAUAUAUAUAUANUUAACUUAAAAAAAACAUCAAAUUUUGACUUUAGGUAGUCAUUGAUUCUUCAUUUGUUUUUGGUCAAAAAUAAAAUUAUGUUCACUUUUUAAUUUUUCAGCAACAAUUUUCCAAAAGACUGGUUUUAAACUACUAUUUUCCUGUCCAUUGGCCGUAACUUCAUGUAAACAUGCUUCUAAAAAAGUUUUGUAUACAACUUCAAACUUCUAACUAAUCUUAUCCUCUUUUCUCUCAUGUCUUUGAUCAAUUCAACAAAGCAAAAAACCACAUCAAAUAUCAAAAAGAAUAAAUGUAUAUUUGGUAGGAUUAGAUUUCAGCAAAUCAACAUUACCAAAUUUCAAAAAAUAAAAAUACAAAACAAACAAUAUUAUCAUAUCAAAUUUCAAGUAAAACAAAAAACUCAUCAAAUUAUCAAGCAUCAUAAAACAACCAUCUAUUUUGAGGGCAAAAAAAAGAACAAAACAACCAUCUAUUUCUUGAAAUCUAAUCCUACCGAAUCUACAUUUGUUUUUCUAAUAUUACAAUCUAAUAUUGUUUUUUGAUUGCUGAAAUGUUUAUUGAAUUGAUCAAGGACAUGAGAGAAAAUAAGGAUAUGAUUAGUUGAUAGUCUGAAGUCGUAUACAAAACUUUUUUGAAGUUUGUUUACAUAAAGUUACAGUUAAUGGACGGGAAAAGAAUAGCUUAAAACCAGUCUCCUGAAAAAUUAUUGCUGAAAAAUUAAAAAAUGAACAUAACUUCAUUGUCGACCAAAAGCAAAUCAAGAACUGAUAUGACUACCUAAAGUCACUGUUUGGUGCUUUUUGAAGUCAAGAAACAAAACGACAAUGUGUACAAUGCAACAACCAACACCUUCCAAAGAAGAAUGGGAGCUAAAAACAAAUGUAUUUUGUUUAUUCAAAAAAUAUAUAUAUAUUAUGUUUAAAUAAUAAGAUGUAAUUUUUUCGAACAGUCAAACAAACAUGUUGAUUUUUUGAGACGCACUUUGCUAUCCUUCACCAACCUUUGCACUCAAUUAUUUGAAGGCACGACUUUGACAAGCAUUGACGAUUAGGAGCCAAUUACUACAUGUACCCCCUCAUUCUCAACAUUCAACCCAUUAUAGUUUGAAUGACUUUGAUGACAUUGAUUGCACUAAAAAAGAACCCGUACGCACCAGUGAAAAGUCCCUGCUCAAAAAAACGGAAGAGUACAAAUACGACAAAGAGUAAAGAUACAUCGAAUUCAAAAAUCCUAGAAAUUGAAGAAGAUAUUGCCAAGGUUGCUAAAAUAUUUAUAGAUAAGCAUGUUUCUUCAAAUCUAGGUGCAAAUACGGAAAGUUGAACAGACUGGGAUAGGGAAUAUUUGAUCAAUAAUACACUACAUCUAUUUUGCUUUUUAUUGAAUGUGAGGAUAAAAGACAAGUUUUAUUAACCAUUAAUCCACAUAUUUGUGAGACUUGGGUAUGGCGCAUCGGAGUACAUUAUGAAAUAUUGUGAUGUUUUAGAUUGAUCUUGAUGUUUUUUUUUAUUGAACUUUGAUGUUUUGGAUAUAUGUUACACGUUAUUAGUAUAAUUAUUAUCUAUUUAAAGAUUCACAUAUUGUUUAUGUGAUGAAAAAAUUGUAUUUUUCAUUUUAUUUUCUUAGUAUUGGCCAAGUCUAGCAUCCAAUAGACUUGGGAGACAAUUAAAACCGAUUCAGAAUUGAGCGGUCAUGCAUACACACAAUAAUUGUUACAUGGAACUUAUACACUUUGUUAUGAGCAGAUGCGUCUUUCAUGCGAAACAUACGUACUUUUAUACACAAUCAUUUUAGAAGAAAUUAUUGGUUGCAAAAUGGUAGGCAUAUAAGCAUUGAAAAAAAAGAUGGUUAUGUUCUUCACAAUUAUAAGACAUCCAACACUCCUAAAAAACUUUUCAUAGAUAUUUUCAUGAGGUUCGAAAUGCAAUGAUGAUUUUUUGCAAAAAGAAAUAUUUCCUGGAGUAAUAGGUACGUUAGAUGGAAGUUGUAUACGUAAUCAUGCCUUGCUGAUUAACAGGCUUGUUACAAAGGAAGUGGAUUUAUUACUCCUUACCGCAACAUGAGGUAUUGAUUCUCUGAUUAUCGACGACAACGUGCGUCAACUGAGGAAAGAUUCAAUCAUGCACACGUACAAUCUAGUAAUGAUAUUUUAAGCGAGCUUAUCGUAUUUUGAACGAGAGAUUCUCAAUCCUAAAGCAAGUGACUCCUUAUAGUUUUUUUAGGUGCAAAUAGACAUAGUCAUUGCUUAUUUCGCAGCCUAUAAUUUCAUAAGGAAAUGCAGUGAUGAUCAAUUAUUUAUGGCGUUCGUGGAGAACACAGGUUGAGCACAAGAAGGAGAGAGUGGCGGCCAAAACAUACACGACAUGGAACAGGGUUCACAAUGCAACGAAUACAUGACUAGUUUGUGUGACUAGAUUGUGAAUCAAUUAUUUUUAAAUGCUUCAAAUUAAAUUUGAAGGAUUUAUUUGGAUUUUAGUAUGAUUUUGUGGAUUUGAAAAUAUUUAUGUUUGAUUUGGAUUUGUGUUUGCUUAUAUGAUUUAUGUUUAAUUUGGAUUUUGUACGGUGUUUAUAUAUGUUUUUUAUAAUUAUUCAAGAAGUUGGUUCGGUUAUUUUAUAAACAUAAAUAUUGAAUUAAGCAAAAAAUAAUACAUAAGGAUAAAAUGGUCAUUUUUAUCAACACAACUAUUCAGAGGUUCCAACCAAACAACCAACCAAUAUGUUAAAAAUUCAGACCUUCUUAGAACUUCAUACCUCCUAAAAAUUCAGAUUAUGCCAAAUAGCUCCUAUGACUUCUUCACUUAAAAUGACUAUAAUACCUCCAUAAGCUAAUCUUAACACUCUAAAAAAACUUAUUAACUUACAGCUUCUUGGCACCACAUAAGCUAAUCAAAACACCUUUUUAGGGAAAAAAAAAUUGUCACCUCAUAAGCUAAUAAACACUUUAUCAAAAAUUGCUUAUUAAGUUCAAUAAUUAAUUAAGUUUGUACUGCUUUACUAGCAAGAGGGUCCCAUUUUUUUAAUGGCUUUGAUUAGAAGUAUUAGAAGUAAUAGACAAGCUACUCAUACCAAGGCUCUCAUGUAAUUUAUUAAGUUGGAAUGGACAAUAGAUGUAUAAGAGUAAAAAAUAGAGGAAACCUUGGUGCAAAUAUAGAUCAAUGAUACUAACUUUCCCAAACAAUAAUCACCAUGGAAGUUUGCUGAGCUUUGGCUCUUUUCAAAAAAAAAAAAAAACAAUAAUCACCAUGGAAACAGUUUGUAGUAUAUACUUAUUUUGACAUUUCUAGAUUGUUAUUGCCGGUGUAUUUUGAUUAAAAGAGUAGAUUUUUGUAAAAUUUUCAUGCCCAUUAAUUAUUAUAUUUAUGUUAAUGACAAUCUUGAUUGGCAUAGGUUAAGCUAGGAGAUCCGAAUGUGGUUUCAAAUCCUAAAACACAUGUAGUAAAAAACGAUAUUAAAUGAAGGAAAACAACAUAUUUGACAUUGAAAGUCAAAAUUCAUCCCAUGAACUUUGAACAUUGAUCCUAUAAGAUAGGGUAUACUGUAUACUUCAGAAGCCACCAGCAAAACAGUAACCAACUUUGAGCUUAGUAAAACACCAAACUGUAAUUAAUGGCAACCAACUUUGAGAGACUAAGUACAAUGAUUAUAAAAUAUCAGAUUGUAACAAUAUAUGAACUUUUAAGAUUACUCAACAGAAGGUUAAACUUUCCAAUAAAAAAACUACAUAAAAUGCUGUUAACUAACUCCAUUUUAAGACAUAUUUUGUCCCAAUUAAUGCAAGGCGUAUAAUGUAUACAUCAUUAGAAGAAGGAAAAGGAAAAAGGUCCAAAGCAAUGUUGAUUGUUCAUGUUACAAAUAAUAAAACAAGUUGAUGGUUUAAGAAAAAGAUUAAGCACAAGUCAUAAACCUAAUUCGUCUUAAAAUGGAUUCAAUUGCAAAAAUCAACACAAGUCAUAAUCAAAGGCAUAACAAGAAAGCUGUAAGAAUAAAAUUGAAAAAGAUGGAAGUGGGGGUUUAGAUGAUUUUGAGGACAAUGUUACAACGGAAGCAUCAGGCCAAGUCCAAGAGUAAGAAGGGUUCGCACCUUAGACAAUCAAUAGUGUGCCGGUUGUUGUUGUGCUCUGAUAAGUCAAUUCAUAAGCCACCGUUUCCCGCUGUUAGUUUACAGGUCUGGAUGGAAACAGAUAUUCUAGUGGCUCGCUCUUCAAGAGGUCGCUGCC